GGGGACAUUGGGGACAUCAGUGGGGACAGCAGGGACUGAGGGGACAGUGAGGGGAGAGUGGGGAUUGGGGGGACAUUGGGGACCACCAGCGACUGAGGGGACAUUGGGGACAUCACUGGGGACACGGUGGACAUCGGCGCGGGGACAGCGCCGGGAUGGUUUUAGGGAGGAUUGAGAAAACUUCCAGAUGGAUUUGGGACAAUUUUAAGAGAUUGGGGACACCUGGAAGGAACUGGGGACACUUUGGGGACAAUUUCAGGGGAUUUUGGGACAGUUUCAGGGUGGUUUGUGACAAUUCCGGGAGGGGCUCGGGCCGUUUUAGCGACACUUUGGGGACAUUUUGGGGCCGCUCGGGGCCGACCCCGCCGUGAGGGGAGCGAAGGCCGCCAUGACACCUGGGGGGGGGGGGGUCCGACAUUCGCGCCCUUCCCGCCGCCAUCGCCGCUCGCCGCCGCUCCCUUCCCGCCCCGCCGCCUCCCUCGGUGCCGCCGCCAUCGCCCCGCGCCCUUCCCGCCGCCCGCCGCCCUCCCCGCGCUCCGAUGGCGGCGGAUCCCGCCCGGGACCUCACCAUGGCUGCAGCGUCCGCGGGGCUCUGCCGGGAGAAGAAGAAGGCGGAAGUGACGUCACGCGCACGCCGUGCGUCACCAAGAUGGCGGCGCAGACGGAGGUGGCGGCGAUGGAGGCGCCGCUGGAGGCGGAGCUGGAGGCGGAGCUGGACCUGGAGGGGGCGGAGCUGGAGGAUGUGGAUGUGCACAUCCAGGAGAACCUGGAGGACGCCCUGGUGCAGGAGGCGCUGCAGACCGGCGUGGACCUGCGCCAGUACUCGCGGCAGGUGGAGCUGGAGCUGCAGGAGGUGGAGAGGGCCUCGAUCCAGGACUGUAUCCCCCAAAAAGUGUCCCCAAAGUGUCCCCAAAGUGUCCCCAAAGUGUCCCCAAAUGUCCCCAAGGUGUCCCCAGGGUGUCCCCAAGGGCGAAAUCCCCGAAAUCCCCAAAAUUUGGCCCCAAAAUCCCCAAAAUUUGGCACCAAAUUCUCUUAAAAUGUCCCCAAAGUGUCCCCAAGUAAUGACCCCAAAUUCCCCAAAAUUGUCCCCAAAGUCCCCAGGGUGUCCCCAGGUGUCCCCAGGGUGUCCCCAGGGUGUCCCCAAAUGUCCCCAGGGUGUCCCCAAGGGUGAAAUCCCCGAAAAUCCCAAAGUUUGGCCCCAAAAUCCCAAAAUUUGGCCCCAAAGUGUCCCCAAAUCCUCUAAAAAUGACCCCAAAUUCCCCAAAAGUGUCCCCAGGAUGUCCCUAAGUGUCCUCAGGUGUCCCCAGGGUGUCCCCAAAGUGUUCCCAGAUGUCCCCAAGGUGUCCCCAGGUGUCCCCAAGGUGUCCCCAAAGUGUCCCCAGAGUGUCCCCAGGGUGUCCCUGAUUGUCCCCAAUGUCCCUGCUGUCCCCUCGGUGUCCCUGAUGUCCCCAAUGUCCCCUCAGUGUCCCCAAUGUCCCCAAUG
rnacentral:lncRNA from 1 species